GGGACGUUAGCUCAGUUGGUUUAGAGCACUACCUUGACAGGGUAGGGGUCACUGGUUCGAGUCCAGUACGUCUCA
rnacentral:tRNA from 1 species